UACGUAGGGUCCGAGCGUUGUCCGGAAUUAUUGAGCGUAAGGGCUCGUAGGCGGUUUGUCGCGUCGGGAGUGAAACACGGGCUUAACCCGUGCCUGCUUCCGAUACGGGCAGACUAGAGGUAUGCAGGGGAGGAACGGAAUUCCAUGGUGUAGCGGUGAAAUGCGCAGAUAUCAGGAGGAACACCGGUGGCGAAGGCGGUUCUCCUGGGCAUUACCUGACGCUGAGGAGCGAAAGUGUGGGGAGGCGAACAGG
rnacentral:rRNA from 1 species